GACAGAGGCCCCAAGCGUUAGGCGGAAUCACUGGGCUUAAAGCGUGUGUAGGCGGAUCGUUAAGUGUCUUGUGAAAUCCCACGGCUCACCCGUGGAACUGCUGGGCAUACUGGGCGAUCUUGGGCCAACUAGGGGCAGUCGGAACAAGCGGUGGAGCGGUGAAAUGCGCAGAUAUCAGGAGGAACACCGGUGGCGAAAGGCGGAUCUCUGGGGCCAUUACUGACGCUGAGGAGCGAAAGCGUGGGGAGCGAACAGG
rnacentral:rRNA from 1 species